rnacentral:lncRNA from 1 species
AUGCCUGCCCAGAGCUGUGUCCCACAUUUCCUCCCUUCUUAAGUCGUCCCAGACCAACCCUCCAGGCAAGUUACCUCGCUUGCAGGGCGUGGUUUAAUGUUCUCUGGCCCCCUCUCUCUUCCCCAGAACAGCAUGCCGUUCAGGAGUUGACCAAAGCAGCCAUGAGUGGCGUGGGCAUUGACGGAGAAGUGCUCUCUUACUUGGAAUUGGCUCAGUUUCACAAUGCCCACCAGUUGGCCGCCUGGUGUUUGCACCACAUCUGCACCAACUACAACAGUGUAUGCUCCAAGUUCCGCAAGGAAAUCAAAUCAAAAUCUGCAGACAACCAGGAAUACUUCGAGCGGCACCGCUGGCCCCCUGUGUGGUACCUGAAGGAAGAAGAUCACUACCAGCGUGUGAAAAGGGAACGAGAGAAGGAAGAUAUUGCACUAAAUAAGCAUCGCUCAAGACGAAAGUGGUGCUUCUGGAAUUCAUCUCCAGCAGUGGCCUGAAGAGGAAGAGAAAAAAAACAAAAAACAAAAACCAAUUGGCCACAAUUGACUAUGAAGUCACCCUGUGAUUCUCUUUGCCCACAUGACCACCGAGCAUUAUUACGUAAUUAGAGGGUUAUCCUUUUGUUGUGAAAGGAAGGAGGGGACUGAAAUCUCCCAAAGUGCAAAUUGGAGAGUGUUUAAUCUUUGUUCUGUUGAAUAACAUCGGUGUAAUUACAAAGUCAAUUCCAAGAAUGUGUAUUUACAAUAUUUGCCGUGUUAAGUGCUGGUAAUUAUAUGGUUAUAUGUGCCAUGUAAAAUAUAGUGAUAUCAAAUAUUCUGUUGUUUCCAAUGUCUAGUUUCAAGAGGACAAUCUUUAUAAUCAUUA